rnacentral:rRNA from 1 species
AUGUUACAUGAGGGAUGUUUUCACAUUGGGAAUGAGAAGCACAAAUUAAGUGAGAGUUUUAAUAGUGAUUUGAAAAAACAUCUCAAAUCGGAUUUUGACAUCAUUCGCUUCUUAAAACAUUUUGAAAGGGUUGUGCAAGGAAAAAGAAACAAGGAGCUAGAUGCAGAAUUUGAAGCUACUAAAAAACUGCCUAGAAUAGGGAUGGAGACUCCUAUGUUGUUGCAAACAAGCGAAGCUUACACACCGACCAUAUUUGAAGCAUUCAAAUCUGAAUAUAGAAGAUCCAUGGCUGCAUGUAGUAGAGCAUUGGAUGGAGAUAAUACAUAUGCUGUUACAAUUGUGAGGGCUAAUGGUGAUUUGAGUUCCGAACUAGAGCGCAUAGUUGUCGGUGAUCCUUUGGAGCAAACGGCUUCUUGUAGCUGUUUUCAGUUUAAAAGGACCGGAGUAUUGUGUGCGCAUGCUUUAAAAGUUUUUGACUUGAUGAAUAUCAAGUUAUUGCCAAACCAUUAUCUUUUAAAGAGAUGGACCCGAGAAGCAAAAUCUGGAACUAUACAAGAUACCAAAGGAAGGGAUAUAAUUGAAGAUCCAAAAUUGGAUGCUAUGUUGCGGUACAAGUUUGUUUCUCACAAAUUUCAUGAUUUUGCAAGUGAAGCCGCAAGCGAUCCGGAAUGUAUCUUGUUGGUGGACAAUGCAUUGGACAUCCUUGCCAAGCAAGUACGGGAAAAACUGAGGAUAUCUAGAAGUAUUUUGAGUGAAUCCUUUUAUGUGCAGCCUAAUGUUCAACAAGAUGAGGGUUUGCUUAGUUCUGCAUGCCUCAAGAAAAAAGAGGUUCAACCGAAAAGUUCAAAGAGACAUAAACCUUGGAUCGAGAAGACACGCAAGUACAAAAAGAAAGACCCAAAGGAAUCUAGCCAGCAAGAGAAAGAGAAUCAAGUUGGUGGAGAAACUCAAGCAACAACUGAAAAUGCUAAUAAUGCCAGCAAUGCAUUCAGGAGCUACACAGACUUGCUAAUG